GCGUGAGUGAAGAAGGCCUUAGGGUUGUAAAGCUCUUUCACCCACGAAGAUGAUGACGGUAGUGGGAGAAGAAGCCCCGGCUAACUCCGUGCCAGCAGCCGCGGUAAUACGGAGGGGGCGAGCGUUGUUCGGAAUUACUGGGCGUAAAGGGCGCGUAGGCGGAACGUCAAGUCAGGGGUGAAAGGCCUGGGCUCAACCCGGGAACUGCCCUUGAAACUGGCGAUCUUGAGUCCGGGAGAGGAUGGCGGAAUUCCCAGUGUAGAGGUGAAAUUCGU
rnacentral:rRNA from 1 species